UACGGAGGGUGCAAGCGUUGUCCGGAUUUAUUGGGUUUAAAGGGUGCGUAGGCGGUUUUUUAAGUCAGAGGUGAAAGUCUGCGGCUCAACCGUAGGAUUGCCUUUGAUACUGAGAAACUUGAGUACAGUUGAGGUAGGCGGAAUUGACAGUGUAGCGGUGAAAUGCUUAGAUAUUGUCAAGAACACCGAUUGCGAAGGCAGCUUACUAAGCUGAAACUGACGCUGAGGCACGAAAGUGUGGGGAUCAAACAGG
rnacentral:rRNA from 1 species